CGGCGCGCCCUCCACCUCCACCUCUGCGUCCGGCCCGCCGCCCCUCCACCUCCACGUCCGGCCCGCCGCCCCUCCACCUCCACGUCCAGGCGCCGCCGCCUCUUCUCCUCGGCCGCUCCAUCCUCGUCGUUCGCCCCCCACCCCUCCGGAAACCCCUCCGCCGCCGCCGGCGGCCAUCGCCACUUCUGCCCGUCCCGCAGGCCCUCCUCCAUCUCCUCCGCAUCACCCCUCCCCAGUCCUCCUUUUCCACACGGGCUCACCCAUUCAUCUUCUUGCUAGAUUUGUGGCGGAUCGAGCAGGCCGCCCUUCCCGCCGGCCUCCCUUCUCGUCGGCCGUCCUCACCGAUGGCCCUCCACCCCCGUCGGCGCCUCUCCCGCAGAAGAUGUCUACCAACCAGAGGCUUCUUGAAGGAGUCGACUAGCUUUGUAUCUAUGCCUACUAUCGUCAGAGUGUAUAGUAUUUUAGCUGGCUUCUAAAUUUGUAGCACACAUAAAACUGUCCUUUCUAAAUUAUGUCUCUUGCAUCAGCUGAAUGAAUGUUGUUCUACCAUUUGUAUCGGCUGAAACUUGGUACUUUCUCAUAGAUUGAUUUGUCUAAAUUUCUAGAAAAUAUAUAUCAUGUACUUACUAUGUGAUGGCCUGUUGACUUAGUGAUAGAUUUUUCUUGUUUAUCAGCUGAUGCUCAUGAAUAUUGUGAUGCUCAUGAAUAUUGUGAUGGCCUGCUCAUGUAAAAAAGUGAUGCUAUUAACUUAGAAUUACUACUAUAUGUCAUGUAUAUGUAAGAUCAAGCUAUGUUUCUAUUUUCCAACGUCUAAAGCUAUUGCACUAUAAAUUGGCUAAGUGAGAGACUAGGCAGCACUGCAUUCUAGCUAAAAUACAAGCACGCGACACACAUACAAAACACACAACAGUACCCUGUACCCAUCAGGAACUCCAGUCAAGCUUCUUCCAUUCCAGGCCUUGAGAAGCACCAGCAAGCCAAGGUAGCUCUUGAGUCAGUUUUUCUAGUCCUCCAAGUUUUCCUGAAGUUAGGAAGCACAAUGCAACAUUGGUGUUUAUCCGCGGAGCUUCAAUCUAGUAAUUGCAGAUGCUUGUAGCAAGGAACAGCUAUGGGAGUAUUAAAAAAACAGAAUGACAUGGCGGGGAGGAGAUGAAAGGUGAUUGGUACUGAUCAGCUGGGUACAAGUACCCAGAAAAGUAAUAGUUGCAUAUCUGUUAGUUUUAGGGAGAUUCAGUGGAGUAUGGUGGCUCAAGUAUAAUGCAGCUACUGGCAAACCUUUUUUUUUUCUUUCUGAUUCUUUUUCUUGUUUUGAGAAUGUAACUGUAAACUCUGGAGUAUAUGACAUUGAAGUUUGGUC